rnacentral:rRNA from 1 species
UACGUAGGGGGCAAGCGUUGUCCGGAAUCAUUGGGCGUAAAGAGCGUGUAGGCGGUUCGGUAAGUCGGCUGUGAAAGUCCAGGGCUCAACCCUGGGAUGCCGGUCGAUACUGCCGGACUAGAGUUCGGAAGAGGCGAGUGGAAUUCCCGGUGUAGCGGUGAAAUGCGCAGAGCUCGGGAAGAACAUCGGUGGCGAAAGCGCUCUGCUGGACUGCAACUGACACUCAGGGACGAAAGCUAGGGGAGCGAAUGGG